rnacentral:rRNA from 1 species
UACGUAGGUCCCGAGCGUUAUCCGGAUUUAUUGGGUGUAAAGGGCGUGUAGGCGGGAGCGCAAGUCAGAUGUGAAAACUCAGGGCUCAACCCUGAGCCUGCAUUUGAAACUGUGUUUCUUGAGUGCUGGAGAGGCAAUCGGAAUUCCGUGUGUAGCGGUGAAAUGCGUAGAUAUACGGAGGAACACCAGUGGCGAAGGCGGAUUGCUGGACAGUAACUGACGCUGAGGCGCGAAAGCGUGGGGAGCAAACAGG